GCAUGGGAUUGGAUCCAUGGCAGGCCCGUGCCCCGGGCGUGUCAUCGUGCCCCGUGCCACAGCGAACCGUGGCCUCGAAGCACGGGCAGGCCUCUGCCCGUAGGCUGCAGACACGGAAACGGCUCACACCGUG